rnacentral:rRNA from 1 species
AGAGUUUGAUCAUGGCUCAGGAUGAACGCUAGCGGCAGGCCUAAUACAUGCAAGUCGGACGGGACUAUUUCUAGUAGCAAUACCGGGAAUAGUUUAGUGGCGAACGGGUGCUUAACACGUGGGCAACCUGCCAGGAAGUGGGGGAUAGCUCGCCGAAAGGCGAAUUAAUACCGCAUGUGAUUAGAGAGGACAUCCUUUCGAAAUUAAAGUCGGGGCAACCUGACGCUUCUUGUGGGGCCCGCGGCCUAUCAGCUAGUUGGUGAGGUUACGGCUCACCAAGGCUUUGACGGGUAGCUGGUCUGAGAGGACGACCAGCCACACUGGGACUGAGACACGGCCCAGACACCUACGGGUGGCAGCAGUCGAGAAUUUUUGACAAUGGGGGAAACCCUGAUCGAGCGACGCCGCGUGGAGGAUGAAGGUCUUCGGAUUGUAAACUCCUGUCAUUGGGGAACAAUGCACAGAUAUUAACUGUAUUUGUGUUGAUAGUACCCGAAGAGGAAGAGACGGCUAACUCUGUGCCAGCAGCCGCGGUAAUACAGAGGUCUCAAGCGUUGUUCGGAUUCAUUGGGCGUAAAGGGUGCGUAGGCGGCGCGGUAAGUCGGGUGUGAAAUCUCGGAGCUUAACUCCGAAACUGCAUUCGAU